UUUGUUAGUGCUUUGCACAUUUAUCGUGCCUCUGAUAAAGUUAAAGUGUCCAAGUCCAAAUCAAAUAAAAUCACAUGGACAAAAAUAAAGUGUCCUUGUCAAACUAACAGUAUUGACUGUGGAUAUUUUGUCAUGCGAUUUAUGAAGGAGGUCAUCAUGGAAAAUCAAAAUAAAAUUCCUUUGAAUUACUUUCCCGCACACAAAUGUGUUACUUAUUCUGAAAAUAACUUAGCUGAAGUCAAAGAGGAUUGGGCUUCCUAUAUGCUAGAGGAUGUUAUUAGAAAACAAGUGGGAAAACAUUUCAUACCCUCGACGUUGGAUAACUUAUGAGUUUUUCUGGACAAGUGUUUUUUUAUGGUUCUACACCUGCUUUUAUAAUGUGCAAGUCUUGCAUUUAUGCUGCCAUAUACUUCUUUUA